GUGCUUGCUUGGCAGCUCAUAUACUAAAAUUGGAACAACAUGGAGAAGACUAGCAUGACCCCUGUGCAAAGAUGACAUGCAAAUUCAUGAAGCAUUCUAUAAUUUU